UUGUAUGGUCUAAUGAGUGCAAACAAUCUUUUGAGAGCCUAAAAGGAAUAAUGUGUUGCACUCCAGUGCUGAAGGCCCCGGAUUUCAUGUUGCCUUUCAAGUUGGAGGUUGAUGCCAGCGCAGUUGGAGCUGGUGCAGUUCUUCUGCAGGAGGAUGCCCACGGCAUCGACCACCCUGUGAGUUAUUUCUCAUGGAAAUUCAACAGGCAUCAGCUUGGGUAUUCAACAAUAGAGAAGGAGGCUCUGGCCCUGUUGUUUGCUCUACAGCAUUUUGAGGUUUAUCUUGGGUCAAGUGAAAAGCCUGUUCAAGUAUUCACCGAUCAUAACCCUCUUGUGUUUCUUUCCAGGAUGCAUAACUACAACCAACGUCCGAUGCGUUGGUCUCUCAUUGUUCAGGACUACAAUCUUAACAUCGUGCAUAAAAAGGGAUCUGAAAAUGUUCUUGCUGAUGCUUUGUCUCGUGCGGUAUAGUUAUGUUCCCCUAUUAAUUUAGAUCGUAACUUUAUGGGAGAUUGUUUUUGUGGCAUUCAUUUUUUUUUUCUGAGCUUAUAUGGGUGGGGGUGUUACAUGCCAGACGGGGACGGUCUGCAUGUGUUCUUGUCGUUCUCCCUCCUGCUCAUUGGUUUCUCUCCCCCAGUGAUUACGCUGAUUGGCCAACUCCAAACACAGGUGGAAAGCAAUCAGCAGUUCCGGUGGCAGUCCAUAAAGGAAGACUCCUGAGAAGUGAAAAGGGUGUGUGUUCUGUGCUGCGGGCUGGUGGCCAGUCUUCCUGUACGUGAGCUUUAGCUGGCUGCUAGCAAAACUGGAGUUUUGUAAGGUGGAGGUUGAGGACCUUAGUAAGUUGGGGUACCCUGUACAUUUUUGCACGUAGGUAUACCUUUGUAUAGACACACCAGGUGUAGUGGUUGUUGCCUUCCGUGUAACGUUUUCCUUUAGUCCUUUUUUUAGAGAAGCAGGUAAGGUAUUUUGUUUGACUUGUUUUGGAUGAAGAGCCAGUGGUGAGCUAGGUCCCAUCUUCCACCAUCUCCCUCCCUCCUGUUGGGAGCCAUCUUUUUGUGUAAGAAUAAAAACUAGAAAGACACCUUUUACCCUGACUCUGUCGCCUGUCUUUG
ensembl:lncRNA